CUUUACUGUAACUUGAGAUUGAAAUUGGACUUUACUUGCGCAGUAUAGGUGGGAGGCGUUGAAAAUUUUCUUGCGGGAAGAUUGGAGCCAUCAGUGAGAUACCACUCUUGUAAUGUUAGAUUUCUAACUUUGGAUCAUGAUCUGGUCAAAGGACAGUUUCAGGCGGGCAGUUUGACUGGGGCGGUCGCCUCCCAAACGGUAACGGAGGCGUACAAAGGUUUCCUCUGAACGGGUAGAAAUCGUAUCUAGAGUGUAAAGGCAUAAGGAAGCUUGACUGUGAGACCUACAAGUCGAGCAGGGACGAAAGUCGGUCUUAGUGAUCUGACGGUGCUGAGUGGAAAGGCCGUCACUCAACGGAUAAAAGUUA
rnacentral:rRNA from 1 species